rnacentral:rRNA from 1 species
UACGUAGGGUGCGAGCGUUAAUCGGAAUUACUGGGCGUAAAGCGUGCGCAGGCGGUUCGUUAUGUCCGAUGUGAAAGCCCGAGCUCAACUUGGGAAUGGCAUUGGAAACUGCCGUGCUGGAGUGUGGGAGAGGUGCGUGGAAUUCCUGGUGUAGCGGUGAAAUGCGUAGAUAUCAGGAGGAACACCUGUGGCGAAAGCGGCGCACUGGACCACAACUGACGCUGAGGCGCGAAAGCUAGGGGAGCAAACAGG